rnacentral:rRNA from 1 species
AUACGAAAGGUGCAAGCGUUGUUCGGAUUUACUGGGCGUAGAGAGAGUGGGGGUGGUUUAUUAAGUCGGAUGUGAAAUCCCGGGGCUCAACCUCGGAACUGCAUUCGAUACUGAUAGGCUAGAGUUUGGGAGAGGUAAGCGGAAUUCCGUGUGUAGCAGUGAAAUGCGUAGAUAUACGGAGGAACACCUGAGGCGAAGGCGGCUUACUGGACCAAUACUGACACUGAGACUCGAAAGCGUGGGUAGCAAACAGGAUUAGAUACCCUAGUAGUCC